CCCUUAGAGUUUGAUCCUGGCUCAGGACGAACGCUGGCGGCGCGCCUAACACAUGCAAGUCGAACGAGCGAGAGGAGGUUUACUUUCUCAAGCGAGUGGCGAACGGGUGAGUAACGCGUGAGGAACCUGCCUCAAAGAGGGGGACAACGGUUGGAAACGACUGCUAAUACCGCAUAAGCCCACGACCCGGCAUCGGGUAGAGGGAAAAGGAGCAAUCCGCUUUGAGAUGGCCUCGCGUCCGAUUAGCUAGUUGGUGAGGUAAUGGCCCACCAAGGCGACGAUCGGUAGCCGGACUGAGAGGUUGAACGGCCACAUUGGGACUGAGACACGGCCCAGACUCCUACGGGAGGCAGCAGUGGGGAAUAUUGCACAAUGGGGGAAACCCUGAUGCAGCGACGCCGCGUGGAGGAAGAAGGUCUUCGGAUUGUAAACUCCUGUUGUUGAGGAAGAUAAUGGCGGUACUCAACAAGGAAGGACGGCAACUCUGC
rnacentral:rRNA from 1 species